GUGAAUCAUCAAAUUUUUGAACGCAAAUUGCACUCUCUGGUAUUCCGGGGAGUAUGCCUGUUUGAGGGUCAGUGAAAAUAUAAAUCGGUGAAGUUGCUGCCUGGCGUGGUGACGCACCGAAUGGGGUUCGUCUGGCCUUCGGGGAAGUGACGUAAAAUUGCGCAUGAUUUUUUCGAACGUGGUUAAAUGAUUUGACGUACGUUUGCGAUAUCUAGUACUAGGGGCGGUCAUCCUCAUGAUCCGCGCCUAUAAUGUCUCA
rnacentral:misc_RNA from 1 species